rnacentral:lncRNA from 1 species
GCUGAAAACUUUCUUUGUAGACCCUGACAUCUGGCUUCUCUGACUGCCAAGCCUGGCCUCCUCCAAGGUGCCACAGGAGAUGCGUCGGUGUGGCAGCCUCCUGAAAUUAGGACCAGUGCAAUAGUCCAUGUUUUUGCUGAAAUGUCAUCUAGAAGAUUCACAGUUCCUCUGAAAGACUUAGAAAAAGUGACCUACAAAAACAGAUAAGACUCCAACUCCAUCAGCUGACCAACUCCAGCUGUUUGCAGCCCUUCAUGCAAUGCUGAGCACAGAUCUGAACCGGAGAAAGGACACCUCACCCUUCAUGAACGGGUCACGUCUGGCAAGAGCAGCUGCAAAUGAGACUCUUCUUGAAAGCUACAGGGACAUGAUGGGCUCUAAGCAUUUUGAAGAAACUUCUGACCUUGAGCUAAGACAGGUAAGGGAGGACGUAUAUAUUCCUAGUUCAUGAAAACUGCACAUUCACAAUGGCUUGCUUAUCAUUUUACAAGCAGUAACUACAGUGUUCAUAGUCAUGUGAAUAAGGUCCUGUUUCAGCAAGACAUUUCAGUUUGUGUUUAACAUUUAAUAAGAACUCACGUGUUCUUUGAAGUGAAAGGUGGACUUCCAGGCCAGUUUUGCAGCAACCAAAAGUACUGCCUCCUUUGCUGAUGGAAGUAGCCUUUCAUAACCAUAGGAAAACUUCACAAAAAUUUGUGGUAUUAGAUCAGUAUUCCCAAUGCAGCAGAAAUUAAACGUGGCAAGAAUGGACCCUUUGGUGCAGGAAAACAACAAAAAAAAGCUAUCAGAAAAUUAGCACUGAUUGCACUCUUGGAUACACUUUUGAGAGAGGAAAAAAAAUAUAGAAGGCUUAAUCAAAAUGUACAGUGCAGGAAAAUGGCACCUGCCUCAAGGAACUUACCACUGAAGCUUUAAACAAGAGACAACAUAUACACUGAGGCAGAUAGGAAUCAAAGCUGCAUAUCAUCCCGAUGAGUAUAGUCUCUUUUGCGCACAGUUACAAUUUCCCCCAGGUAACAGGGCUACUUUAAAGAAAAAAAAAAAAGAAAUGUAUUGUGCCAAAAAAUCUUCCCCAUUCUCGUAGCAAAUUCUGAGUUAGCAUUGCACAUGACAUUGUUAAUUUAUUAGAUAUCAUCAAGAUUAGCUAUAUUUUACAGAUAUGAAGGUGUGUUCAGACUCGGUGCAAUGUUAUUGACCCCAGAGCUAAUACAGUUGCUUAAAUCAGGGCAGAACUGAUCAAGUACUGCUUUCCACUUGGACUUAAACCAGACAUCAUAAAGAUACGAAUUACACGAAACAUGAUUUUAGGCCUCUAUCUCCUACUGAUCAUCCUACAUGUAAUUAUUGUCUUCUUUCUAAAAGAGAUACAUAUAUAACCUGAUUUUUUUUUCUGGUAGCUUUUACCCAUGUGUAUCCUUUGGAAUACUCAAAUGAGCUUUUUAAUUUAUCAUGUCGAUCUAUGAAGAUUUAUAGAAACAAAUCCUAUAGAUAUGAGCAGAACAUAAUGGAGCAUCCCCCACUGUUUUUUCAACCAUUUUCUUUAAAUAUUUCCUUUAAUAAAAAAAAUUACAGUCCUCCUUCA